GCAGAGGCGACGCUGGCAGCCGUCUCUUAGGAGAUUUCUCCGCAGUGUGGACGGGGGUCAGGAUUUGCAGGCGAGCAAGGGCAGAGAGGAGAAAUCGUACAGGUCGGUGACGCGCCUAAUUCACAAAGCCUGAAAGUGCUGUCAACUUUGGGGUCAUCUUAUGCUGGGCACCGCCUCUCCAAUUAUCUGCAAAAAGUGAUAGCAGUCGCGCUUUUCUUUAGGAGGCGAUGUGAUGUGUAAUGGUGGAAAAGACGUUCAAUGAAAAGGCACGGAGGCCUGCAGGACAGGCUGUUGGGGUCCAGGGUUUCUUGAGUGUUGGAUUUGGAUGCUUGGGACACUGCAGGGGCUUCAGUCUUGCAGGGUGACCUUUCAUUUCAUGGGUGAUGAAAGUGAGACCCAAAACCCCGUGUCAUUUUGAAUCACUGACAGGCUUCGGCUUUUGGCCUCGGGAUGUCCAGCCCAGUGCUCCUUCCUGUCCUAUCUGGAAAGCAAGAUCCCCUUGACCACAAGAAAUAGAAUCAGGCUUGUUGGGGAUGAGAGACUAGAAUCUGGGCCAAAGAAUGGAAGACGGUGCUCAGAGAUGACCCUGAGUCUUGAUUCGGUGAGAAGAGGAAUGAGAUCCAGAUGAAGACCUCAUGAGUCCAUAGAUUGUAUUGGCUGGGAUUUGCACUUGGUUGCACAUAAUAAAAAUUCAUUCUUGGUGAUUAAACCAAACAAGAAUUUAUUUUUCUCAUGGUAAAAAGAAGU
rnacentral:lncRNA from 1 species